ensembl:lncRNA
UUUUUUUUUUUUUGCUUUUUUAGGGCCACACCCACAGCACAUGGAAGUUCCUAGGCUAGGGGUCUAAUCAGAGCUGCAGCUACUGGCCUAUACCACAAACCCGUCACAGUCACAGCAAUGCGGGAUCCGAGCCACAUCUACGACCUACACCACAGUUCAUGGCAAAGCCAGAUGCUUAAACUCACUGAGUUAGGCCAGGGAUCAAAUCCAUGUCCUCAUGGUUACUAGCUGGGUUCGUAACCCUCUGAUCCAAAACAGGAACUCCACCAAUAUCAUGUAUUUUGAUAGAAAAUUUACUGCCUAAAAAACAGACCUUAAUUUGAAAAUGGAUACAUGUGUGUGUGUACACACACACCCCUGAUUCACUUUACUGUACACCUGAAACUAACAUAAUAUACUAAGUCAACUAUAUUCCAGUAAAAUUAAAACAAAAAGACCUUUAAUGAAAUUCCUAGCUAAAAAAAGAUUAACGACUAAAAACAUUUAUAGAACGCUUACCAAAAAAGAAGAAUCACUAAUUACUGUAACAUGAACUGGUGAAUGAACAAAACAGACAUUAUACUGGGAAAAGCCACACCAUCUGGGUUCAUAGGAUAGGUCAUGAUAAAGAUAAAACAGCAUGUGACAUAAAAGGUGAAUCUUCAAAGCUAACCCCCUCCCUUGCUAACAUGACAAUAUACUUUACCAGAAAAGAAGAAGAAAUGGCAAAAUCAUUCUCAUACUUGAAUUGAUAGGAAAAAGCUUAGGAUACAGCAAAUAGUGAAUAUGAUUGCCAAACACUGCAGUGAAAUUUGAGGCUGUUUAGUAAAAUAUGUAAUGUUAAAUUUAAAAAAACCUUUAGUACAUAUAGCAGAUAUGAAAUAAUUAUAAUAAAAGAAAUUAGCAAGCAUCUAAGUACCAAAGGUUCAAAUUAAAGUGAUUUUAAGAACAAGUGAUGUUUAUUGAGUUCUUAGCAAGUGUUAAACCUAGUGCUAAGCACUUCACACACAUUAUCUCAUUUGAUAAAAACCCUAUUUAUCUUAUCCCUAUUUUACAUUAAGUGACAGUCUGGAUUCACACCCAGAAUCUAACUUUGUUAACUACUAAGGUAAUAUGUACCAUACUAACAUACAUGUAUUAACAUGGUUCUUUAACCAUACAGUAAUAUAUACUGUAUUAACUGUCAUGUAAAUUUAAUGAUCAAACAACAUACAUAGGAUAAUGAACAUGCCCAAUCCUCUCAUAAUAUGGGAGUACUCGUACGAACCGCUCAUACUCAUCAAAGUACUUUUACAUGGGAGUUCCCAUUGUGGUGCAGCAGAAAUGAAUCUCACUGGGAACCAUGAGCCUAUCAAGGAUUAGCUAAAGGUCUGAAAAAUUUUAGUAAAUGAUUAAAAGUAAUACAAAGAUGCAUAUACAUGUCUACCCAGAAGUCAGAUUGACUGACUCUUCCGACUAAUUCAAAAUAUAUUUGUUUACAUUUUUAAUGGAAUAAGGCAAAGUACACAUCCCUCUGGCUCAAGACAAAAUUAUGUUCCAAAAUGUAUGUAAAAUGUUUUUUACCUAUAAAAUACCAUUUUCCUAUUAAAUCACAUGACAUUGGAGAAAUAUGCUUCCACGAAAAAGAAAAACCCAAUUGAUGGGCUGAGCUGAAAUCUAGAGAAAUGUGACCACAUGACUAAGAAAUGUGUAUUCAAAUAGGGGUCUGCAAGCCACCGGUUGAGUCCCAUUGGUUUAAGUGGAUUAUUAGUAAAAACUAUAAGGAAUCGAAAAUGAUUAGAACCUGGCAGGAAAACUACAAAUGCCAAUCCCUCUCCUAUUUGGGUGACUUGAACUUAUGCUGCAGAGCCAAACAGAUAUCAGUUAUGAUACCCCUCCUUCCCUUAACAGAGCCCAUGACUUAGGAUCAGGAUUGCAUAACCAAGACACAGAAAUAAUAUUUUACAAUUCAUUAUAAGAAAAUUGAGAAAAUUAAAAUUAUUUCAUGUGUGUGUAUCAUACUUAUCAGAAGCUAAUUCUCUAUCUUUCAGAUAAUUUUAAGUGCCAAUAUAGCUGCAACACUCACUGAAGGGUUUUCUUAGGGUUCAACUAAAUAUUUCCACUGAAAACUCUCAUAAGCAACACCUGGUACCAAUCUCCUGAGGACAGAGGCCAGAAAAGGGCUUGCCAGCAAGGAAGCAGAGCACCAGACUAUUCUGCUGUGGACAUAUGUCCACAGAACAUGGACCCCUUCAACUCAGCUCUACACUGGAUGAGUAUAGGAGCUGCCACUGGAGAUGUUUCCUGCUCCACAGAAACCAGUAUCUCUUUCCACAAAUUCACAGGCAAAACUUCCAAAGUCCUCAGGAGGGAAAUAUUUGCUGCACCCAGGCAAUCUCCAAGCUAGGGCUCCCCCAUCAGGUAUUUAUGUUUUAUUUAUCCUCCUACUCACAAUGCAGUUUAACCAAUCAGGGGUCAUUUUUACUAUACAUAAUGUUGCCUAGAAUCAUAGCUGAUAUAUAGUCUUAUCAGAUUACCAAAGAAACUGAGUCACAGUUAACCAAAAAUUAAAAAUGCCAACCUGAAGUAUCUCGAGUAUAUCAACAGCUAUAAAUAGAAUAGCUAUAAUCUAACAAAAAGAAACAUGAGCAAAAUAUACUAAUAAGCAAUUCAGAAGAAAGAACCAAAAGGGCCAAUGUGUGAGCUCCACAGUUAUCAGAGAAUGUGUAUGAAAACUAAAACGAAAUGCCAUUCCACACCAUUUACAUUGUCAAAAAUUAUAUUUUAAAUCACAUAUUCUACAACCAGUAAUUACCCUCCUAGGUAACACCCGAGAGAAAUUCUCACAUGUAUACAAGUUGAUGUUUCCCAAAACGUUUGCUGCGGGAAUGCUUAUAAUUGCAAAAAAUUGCAAACAAGCUAACCGUUUAUCAAGAGGAAAAUGGACAAGUUGUGAUAUGUUCACAUAAUGGAAUACUGUACACUUGACUGACUUGCAAAAACAUGGACAUUAUCGCAAAACAACAUAAUGUUACAGGAAAAACAGCAAGUUGCAAAACAAAAUAGGUUGUGUGGUACUAUUUAAUCAAGUUUUAAAACAUACAAAAUGAUACCAAAUAUUAUAAACGAUUAAACACACAGAGAGUAAAAGUAAGAAGCAAAAUAUAGAGCAGGGUACAAGAAACAACAAAUUCAGGAUAGCAGUUAUUGCUAGGAAAAGAAAGAGAAUGCCAUAAAUAACUCAAAGAAAAGGGGUCAAAAAAGUGGUUCUUUUAAUUAGUAAAGAAGAAUCAACAUUUAAAAUCCAGAUAAGAGAAUGGCUAUCUUGGCAGUUGUUGAUCAGAACACAUUUUAAGAUACUGGUUCUCUUUUACUUUAAGAGGAUUCUUCUAUUCAUCAUUUUAGGUUAUCUGUUUUUGUUUUUGGUACUGAACUUCUCUCUUUCAAAUAACUAGUGCCUGAGUUCUGACAAGUCUUUCUGAUGUGAGGACCCUCGGUCCCGCUGGGACAGUGUCUGCUAUUCUAAACCAAGACUUCUCCUGGCCUCUGGUCCCCUUCUCUCCAUUUCACCCCCAACCUCACCCUGUGCACCAAGAGCAAAUCAAUCAACACGAAAUGUCACUUGGGUCAUCUCACUCAUCAGACCCUUAGGUAUAAAUCUCUGACGGCAGUCAGCACUUGGAGAAUGAAAGGAAAAGGCCUAUAACCUAGCAUUUUAAGGCCUCUGAGCUGGCUCUGAGCUGUCUUCUUUUUUCUUUCCUUUUUUUUUUUUUUUUUUUUUUGUAGGCCCACACCUACAGCACAUGGAGGUUCCCAGGCUAGGGGCUGUUUAGGAGCUAAUGCUGCUGACCUAUGCCACAGCCACAACUCGAGAUCUGAGCCUUAUCCACAACCUAUACCACAGCUCAUGGCAACACGAGGUCCCCGACCCACUGAGAAAGGCCAGGGAUUGAACCUGUGACCUCGUGGAUUCUAGUUGGGUUCCUUUCCUCUGC